ACGCUCGACACCUACGGGAGACAGCAGUUGGGAAUAUUGGACAAUGGAGGAAACUCUGAUCCAGUGACGCCGCGUGAAGGAAGAAGGUCUUCGGAUUGUAAACUUAUUUUGUCAGGGAAGAAAAAUGACUGUACCUGAAGAAAAAGCACCGGCUAACUACGUGUCAGCAGCCGCGGUAAUCUGAGCGGGCUGGCAAGGC
rnacentral:rRNA from 1 species